AUGCCCCACUCUGCGCAUGCUGCACAGUACCUGUUGCUGCGCAUGUCUGUUGCUAUGCGCGUCUGUUGCUGCGCAUGCGCCUUGAAGCCCACCUUCUGUCCUCGCAGAGCUCUGCAAGAAAAGGUCUGGUGUGCGUUCAUUCCGCCGUCUUCAUUUUUUCUCACUAAGACUCAACCGCAUUACCUCAUGUUUCAAAUGGAUGUUGGAGUUCCUCCCAUGACGUCUGCAUUCCGGUUAGAAGUACGUGUAUGCUUGUCUAUGGAGUGCUUACAGGAGGCAGAAAAAUGGCCCCACAAAGAUUUCAACACCUUUUCCUGGAAAGGCCUAAUCCCUAGAACCUAUGAAUAUAUUACCUGUCAUUGCAAAAGGAACUUUGCAGAAUAA
rnacentral:lncRNA from 13 species